UCAUCCUUUCGGGGUCGAUAAAUAAAGUACCAGUUUCACACAGGGGUCAAUGUAAUUGACUUAAUCCCUUUGUCUGUCCUUGUUUGUCCCCUUGUGGGCAAUAAAGAAAUAUAUAUAUUAAACUGGGAAUUACUUUCUCCAUUCUUCGGGCCACUCAUCUCCUGUCAGAUGAGUACCUUUCGGGAUCAUUUCGUAAGGAAGGGGUGUACUUUAGUAAUCGUGUGAGAGUGUGUAUAGAGUGUCACAGCAUCAAAUUGACCAAUACCAAGAACAAAAAAGCAAACAAAUAAAUAAAUACAUAGAAGCAGGAUGAGUAAAGGGACACAAUCCUGAUUAUAACAUCCAAAUGUGAAAAAAAAAAAAUAUAUAAAGAGGAAAAUAUUUUGAAGUCUUACUUCACGUUAUCAUAUAUAGUUGUUUCAUAAUAUGUUCUUCUAUUGGUUUGGCUGCUGUGGGAGGAGAAUAUAAAAUUCGCCCUCUUCAUGCAGUGAGAUAAGGGUAAUCUAUUAACCCUUUUGUUACCAUAUUUCUAUUGAAACACACUGUCUUCAUUUCAAUUAAAUUUUGAAUAUAAUGAAGAAUUUAGUAAAAAUAUCUUAGACAUUUUUAAGCUGGUGUUUGGGAUAGAAAUUAACAUGAAAUUUUGACUGAAGUUUUUAAUUUAAAUCAUUUUUUAUAACGGAGUCUGUAUCCCAGUUUUGGGCAUGUUAGUAUCAAAAAGGAUUAAUAAUUAGAUGUACUGAGCCAAUUUGAUUGAAAUGCCUUGUUCAGAAACACAUACACAGUGUUAGUGACAAACCUCAUAAACUGUUGUGAGCCUUUGGUCCAUUGAGUUACCAUUUGCUCUAUGAACUUGGAGAUCUAUUUUUGUUCUUUUUCUUUUUUUAUGUUCUCUAUUUGAAAUUCCAUAGAGUAUCUUCUGCUGCAGGCCAAAAUAUACUUUCUGUGCCCAUCACCCCUGAAAAUUUAAAUCAGUACAUCCAGUUUUCUUUUUUUUUUUUAACUGAUUAUUAAUUAGUAUAGACAACCAUAAACUAAUAUUAAUUAAUAUAGAUUAAUAUAAUUUGGUAGAAUUUAUUUAUCUGAUGAUGACAUCCUUGAAAAAAAAAAAUUACAUAUAAAAGACAUGCUAAUGGAAAUGUUUUAUUUCCAAAGACAAAAGAAAAA